rnacentral:piRNA from 1 species
CCUUAGGAUAUUUAUGAGAUUGUUGUC